GCAAGUCGAACGGUAACAGAAGAGCUUGCUCUUGCUGACGAGUGGCGAACGGGUGCGUAACGCGUAUACAACUUACCUCUAACUAAGGGAUAGCUCAGAGAAAUUUGAAUUAAUACCUUAUAAUAUCUAAGUGCUUCAUGGCAUUAUGAUUAAAGAAUUUCGGUUAGAGAUGGGUAUGCGUGAUAUUAGUUUGUUGGUAAGGUAACGGCUUACCAAGACUACGAUAUCUAGGGGGUCUGAGAGGAUGAUC
rnacentral:rRNA from 1 species